UACGGAGGGUGCGAGCGUUGUCCGGAAUCACUGGGCGUAAAGGGCGCGUAGGCGGCCUGAUAAGUAGGGGGUGAAAUCUUGCGGCUUAACCGCAAGGCUGCCUUCUAAACUGUCAGGCUAGAGCACAGUAGAGGCAGGUGGAAUUCCUGGUGUAGCGGUGAAAUGCGCAGAUAUCAGGAGGAACACCGGUGGCGAAGGCGGAUCUCUGGGCCUUACCUGACGCUCAGGCGCGAAAGCUAGGGGAGCGAACAGG
rnacentral:rRNA from 1 species